CUCCUCUCUCUCUCUCUCUCUCUCUCUCUCUCUUUGUCUCUCUCUCUCUCUCCCUCACACACACACAUACGCACACCAUUUAAAACUUUAAAGAAACCAUCAAACGAGAUACGUUUUUGAGAACGCCAUCCUGUAUACAUGAACAUAUAUUU